GACGAACGCUGGCGGCGUGCCUAAUACAUGCAAGUCGAGCGAGUCUGCCUUGAAGAUCGGAGUGCUUGCACUCUGUGAAACAAGAUACAGGCUAGCGGCGGACGGGUGAGUAACACGUGGGUAACCUGCCCAAGAGAUCGGGAUAACACCUGGAAACAGAUGCUAAUACCGGAUAACAACAGAUGAUGCCUAUCAACUGUUUAAAAGAUGGUUCUGCUACCACUCUUGGAUGGACCUGCGGUGCAUUAGCUAGUUGGUAGGGUAACGGCCUACCAAGGCGAUGAUGCAUAGCCGAGUUGAGAGACUGAUCGGCCACAUUGGGACUGAGACACGGCCCAAACUCCUACGGGAGGCAGCAGUAGGGAAUCUUCCACAAUGGACGCAAGUCUGAUGGAGCAACGCCGCGUGAGUGAAGAAGGGUUUCGGCUCGUAAAGCUCUGUUGUUGGUGAAGAAGGACAGGGGUAGUAACUGACCUUUGUUUGACGGUAAUCAAUUAGAAAGUCACGGCUAACUACGUG
rnacentral:rRNA from 1 species